UGCCCGGCGGCGGUGCCCGGCGCCCGUGCCCGGGGGAGCGUCGGGGCGGUGUAGCGCCCGGCCGUGCCCCGCGCAGCUCUCCAAGGAAAAGCUGACCGGACCCAUCAGGAGAGGAAAAAAAAAUACCACGUCAGGCGAUGGUCAAGGGAAAGCUUGGUUGGAAUGAUGACAGGUGUUUAUGAUAAAUCUAUGCGUGGAGGAGAAGGGAGACCAAAGGCAGGAAGGAGGCAGCAAUGUGAUUUUACAGAGAAGGGAGUCGACCGGUACAUUUCCCUUUAAAUACCAUUUGAUUCCAGUGAUUAACUUCUCUGUUCCGUUGACAUCUCUGUGCUGAUUCACCCUGGCAACCAGGACUCCAGCUAAAGCCAAGCUUUAGAAGCUAGAGUCAAUGCUGCUAGAAGCAAGGUGAAGGAGGAAGUUACCAAAGCAUGGAUAAUAGAAGAAAGAAGGAACUCAGCCUUCGGUGCUGCAGGAACCUUGAAGAAAUUACCACUUGACAGAAUAAGAGCCACGGCGUAUCCAAACCCCCACGGCUGGAAUUCUCUCGUGCGUGUAAUCGUGGGUACGGAGAACCUCGGCGGUGCAGAGUGGUCCAAUUCAACUCCUAGACUGUAUGCUUUUUGAGGCCAGGGACCAAAGGUUCUACUGGCGUUGAGUGUUUCCAAGAACUCAGCACAGGGCCCUGCCCACAGUUUGCCCUCAAUAAAUAACACUCACUGAUGAAGAUGGUCACAUUGAUUAAGGAUCCACUGAGGCAUGAAACUGCUGUAGGCUGGCACAUCUCACCUGAGGGUACUAAAGCGUCCACGGUCACGUUCUCUCAGUGUUUUUUCCUUCACACAAAAUCACUUCUGUCUUAUCAAGCUUGAACUUUAACAAAUUCAAUUUCACCUAAGCUCCUAUCACAGCCGGGCAUUAAACUACUUGGAUUACUUACUGUCAGGGUCUGAAGAAAACGAGACAUAAAGAUGAGAGCAUCAGCAUCUCAAUGACACUCUCACCCCUGGCUCCACUGCCUCCAACGUAUCUCUUGAACAAGAAGGGCCAAUAUGUUUUCUUAAGCUCCAACUAGCCAGCUCCGGCUAAGAGAAGCUAAGCUCCGAGUAGCUCCGGUACGAAACAGAUUAAACACACCUGGACUCUGCUCCCCAAGAUUUUGUAGUUCAGGAGGCAGGAAAACCCAGGUAAGCCUACCAAAGGCGACCAAGUAAAUGAAUGAGAAGUUACCUCCAAGCACUCACUAGCUCCUGACAGAGAAAUGAACCGAGAACUAUUGAAAUGCAGCCGCGUCCUCUCCGCCAAGAAUGGCAUUAACCUAUGAACACCUUGACCACUGAUUCAAGGGGAAACUUUAGGAUUUUGCCCUCUGGUGCUGCUUGGAAGGGGGGUUUUGUUUGUUGGUUGAUGGGUUAGUUUUUUUUUAAUCUCCAAAUAACAUCAUUCAGUCCCCCACCCAGUCCUGAAGUUGGACUUCCAGGGGCCAGGGAAAGAAAAGGGAUAAAUCAGCAAUCACUAAGUUAUUUCUGAUUUACUGCCACUCCUCCAUUGAGGCCAACUGGAUUUUCAGUAGGUUCAGGAUGUGAUUAAUCAUCAGGCAUCAUAGUACUAAAAUAUAAAAAUAGCAAAUGAGGUUUGAUAGCCUAACAAAGGGUUUUCACUGACGAGUCAAUAAAUAGCAUCGAUUGAUUGAUUGGGUCACAAUAAACCUCAGCUUGGAAGGAGGGAAUUUUGUAUCUGAGUGAAUCUGAAAACUCCAGAGAAGACUAAAGCAUAUUUACUGUAAGAACACUGUGCCUAAAGUUGCUUUCUAAACAAACAAGCCAUUUCAGGGCCCCACAAAUUGUUAAAUCUGAAAAAAACACCAACUUGUUGGAAAACUAAGUAGCCUGACUCAAGCAAAAAACUGGAAAAGCUAUUCGUUUUAAAGCCAAUGUUUACCCAACUCUAUAUUGAACGCUUUAUUUUAUUUUGUUCUGUUUGAGGCUCUGUCCUGAUUCUGAUCCCAUUAAAUUGACAUAAAUCAGGACAUAAAUCGGGGAACCGAGAGGAGAGGAAAGACUACGUAAAAUGGCUCCCUCCCGUGGCUUUUUUCUGCUCUUCAAGGCUAAUAGAAGACAGCAGCUUUUGUCUCUCUAGGUUUCCAGUAUUUUCAACAGGUUUAUUUACCCUGAGAGCUCUGAACUGAAAUUCUAUCUUCAUCUAGGAGGAAAAGCCUGCUAAUGCUGGAAGCCUAAGAGGAAAUUCAGGUCCAGAUCUUUAUUUGGACCUGAAUCGGCUGUCUGUUUUGUUUUGUUUUGUUUGGGGGCGGGUAUGGUACUUGUUGAGUGUUUGCUAGGUGCCAGGUAUUGUUCUAAAUGGUGAGGUAGAUUCGGAGAAGUCAGGUGAAAUUUCCAAGAUCCCACAGCAUUACAAAGGCAGAAUCCGGAUCAGAAGCUAAAU